GAUGAACGCUGGCGGCGUGCUUAACACAUGCAAGUCGAACGAUGAAGCCCAGCUUGCUGGGUGGAUUAGUGGCGAACGGGUGAGUACACGUGAGUAACCUGCCCUUAACUCUGGGAUAAGCCUGGGAAACUGGGUCUAAUACCGGAUAGGAGCGUCCACCGCAUGGUGGGUGUUGGAAAGAUUUAUCGGUUUUGGAUGGACUCGCGGCCUAUCAGCUUGUUGGUGAGGUAAUGGCUCACCAAGGCGACGACGGGUAGCCGGCCCGAGAGGGUGACCGGCCACACUGGGACUGAGACACGGCCCAGACUCCUACGGGAGGCAGCAGUGGGGAAUAUUGCACAAUGGGCGCAAGCCUGAUGCAGCGACGCCGCGUGAGGGAUGACGGCCUUCGGGUUGUAAACCUCUUUCAGUAGGGAAGAAGCGAAAGUGACGGUACCUGCAGAAGAAGCACCGGCUAACUACGUG
rnacentral:rRNA from 1 species